AUUGAACGCUAGCGGGAUGCUUUACACAUGCAAGUCGAGCGAGUGGCGUGCGGGUGAGUAAUAAAUCGGAACGUGUGCAGGAGCGGGGGAUAAGUACUCGGAAGUAUGGCUAAUACCGCCUACUAUUGGAGCGGCCGCUAUCGGAUGAGCUAGUUGGUGGGGUAAAGGCUCACCAAGGCAACGAUCCGUAUCUGGUUGGAGAGGACGACCAGCCAAACUGGAGCUGAGACACGGCCCAGACUCCUACGGGAGGCAGCAGUGGGGAAUUUUGGACAAUGGGGGAAACCCUGAUCCAGCCAUCCCGCGUGUAUGAGAAGGCCUUCGGGUUGUAAAGUACUUUUGGCAGAGAAGCGGUAUCUGCAGAAUAAGCACCGGCUAACUACGUGCCAGCCGCCGCGGUAAUAC
rnacentral:rRNA from 1 species